rnacentral:rRNA from 1 species
CUACUCUUGACAUCUACAGAAUUCGCUAGAGAUAGCUUAGUGCCUUCGGGAACUGUAAGACAGGUGCUGCAUGGCUGUCGUCAGCUCGUGUUGUGAAAUGUUGGGUUAAGUCCCGCAACGAGCGCAACCCUUAUCCUUGUUUGCCAGCACGUAAUGGUGGGAACUCCAGGGAGACUGCCGGUGAUAAACCGGAGGAAGGUGGGGACGACGUCAAGUCAUCAUGGCCCUUACGAGUAGGGCUACACACGUGCUACAAUGGCGCAUACAGAGGGCUGCAAGCUAGCGAUAGUGAGCGAAUCCCAAAAAGUGCGUCGUAGUCCGGAUCGGAGUCUGCAACUCGACUCCGUGAAGUCGGAAUCGCUAGUAAUCGUGAAUCAGAAUGUCACGGUGAAUACGUUCCC